UACACCUCAACUCGGGUAGGACUACCCGCUGAACUUAAGCAUAUCAAUAAGCCGGAGGA
rnacentral:rRNA from 1 species